rnacentral:rRNA from 1 species
GACGAACGCUGGCGGCGUGCUUAACACAUGCAAGUCGAACGGAAAGGCCCCUUUGGGGGUACUCGAGUGGCGAACGGGUGAGUAACACGUGAGUAACCUGCCCUUGACUUCGGGAUAACUUCAGGAAACUGGGGCUAAUACCGGAUAGGAAUCCUUGCUGCAUGGUGGGGGUUGGAAAGCUUCGGCGGUUUUGGAUGGACUCGCGGCUUAUCAGCUUGUUGGUGGGGUAGUGGCUUACCAAGGCUUUGACGGGUGGCCGGCCUGAGAGGGCGACCGGCCACAUUGGGACUGAGAUACGGCCCAGACUCCUACGGGAGGCAGCAGUGGGGAAUAUUGCACAAUGGGCGGAAGCCUGAUGCAGCAACGCCGCGUGCGGGAUGACGGCCUUCGGGUUGUAAACCGCUUUCAGCAGGGGCGAAGCUUGUGGUGACGGUACCUGCAGAAGAAGCACCGGCUAACUACGUG